GAGGGUAUAGCUCAGAGGUAGAGCACAUGCUUAGCAUUCACAAGGUCCUGGGUUCAAUCCCCAGGACCUCCA
rnacentral:tRNA from 1 species